AGGAAAAAAGUUUGAGGUAGUGGGACUCUUUUUAGACGCUCCCUCCGAAUACAUCUUGCAGUCCCCACCGGCAGAUGGAAGAUUUGGCCACUGGAAGCCUGCCGCUGUAUCACUCGAGAGCCACAUUCAGCUUUGAUCCGACUGUUCUGA